CCUGGCAAUUAUAGCACAGUAGUACCACCUGAUCCCAUCUCGAACUCAGAAGUGAAAUGCUGUAUCGCCAAUGGUAGUGUGAGGUUCCCUCAUGUGAGAGUAGGAAAUUGCCAGGC
rnacentral:rRNA from 2 species